GGCCAAUUGAUGUCGAGAGGCUAGCGAGAACUUGUUACUGCCGUCCAUUGUUCUACAACACGAAUGUAGAGAAGUUACAACAGGUUGUGUGGAAUGGGAAUGUAUGCAAGAUGGAUUUCCAAAUUUAUAGCCUCAAGGAGGAGAUCGGAAUAUUUAUCUGGGUCUUGAACAUGCUCUGAUUGGUGAAAUCGCUAAUGAAAAGGCAAUAAGAUUCGAAACCAAAGCUCUAUGUCAUUAACAUUGAGAAUUUCAGAUUAUAUGUCAAAUUUGUCUGCAAUUUAGUGAUUUAUUGAUUCUAUAUGGUUUAGUGAUUUCUGCUAUUUAGUGAUGAUGUUUAGGAUGGCGUUAAUUUUAGUUUAUUUGAAUCUUCUACUUAGAAACAUCUAUUAAAACAAUAUUUUAAAGAUCUAUCAUGAUAUAUGAAAUUACAAACAAUAUUCUAAACA